GCUGCUGGUGUCUGAACCGGUAGACUUCAAAUCCGGUGAGA
rnacentral:tRNA from 1 species